ACGAACGCUGGCGGCGUGCCUAAUACAUGCAAGUCGAACGCUUCUUUCCCCCCGAGUGCUUGCACUCAAUUGGAAAGAGGAGUGGCGGACGGGUGAGUAACACGUGGGUAACCUACCCAUCAGAGGGGGAUAACACUUGGAAACAGGUGCUAAUACCGCAUAACAGUUUAUGCCGCAUGGCAUAAGAGUGAAAGGCGCUUUCGGGUGUCGUUGAUGGAUGGACCCGCGGUGCAUUAGCUAGUUGGUGAGGUAACGGCUCACCAAGGCCACGAUGCAUAGCCGACCUGAGAGGGUGAUCGGCCACACUGGGACUGAGACACGGCCCAGACUCCUACGGGAGGCAGCAGUAGGGAAUCUUCGGCAAUGGACGAAAGUCUGACCGAGCAACGCCGCGUGAGUGAAGAAGGUUUUCGGAUCGUAAAACUCUGUUGUUAGAGAAGAACAAGGACGUUAGUAACUGAACGUCCCCUGACGGUAUCUAACCAGAAAGCCACGGCUAACUACGUG
rnacentral:rRNA from 1 species